ACCUGGGAGGCAGAGGUUGUAGUGAGCCAAGAUCGUGCAACUGCAUGCCUGGGUGACAGAGCAAGACUCUGUCUCAAAAAAAAAAAAAAAAAGAAAAAGAAAAGGAAGGGAGCUGGCAUGUACAGAGCUCACAUGGUGACAGAGCUGAAGCAAGAGAGAGGAGAAGGUGCCAGGCUCUUUUCAACAACCAGUUCUCACAGGAACAAAGGGUUAGAGAACUCAUUUACUUCCAUGAGAAUGGUACCAAGCCAUCCAUGAGGGAUUUACCUCCACAAUCCACACACUUGCCAUCAGGCCCCACCUCCAAUGUUAGAAAUCAAAUUUCAACAUGAGACUUCGUGGGGAUAAACAAACCACAGCAGUCCCUGAAAACUACAUAUGCUUUUUUCGCUCCGUUUGUUAUUGGGUUCUGCCCUGAGCUCAGUGGCCUAGUUGGAAAAUGAAGACUAAAUUUAAAACUAACUGAUAAAUAAAAUUGGUUUCCUUGUAAAAUCUUAUGGUAAAUUCUUAUGAUUUAUUUUUAUUCCUAUGAUUUUACCUUGAUACCCAUUUUUAAUCUUCCUUUAAUAUACCCAAACUUCUUUAAAGAGCUUAAAUUCUCUCUGUGUUUUAAUAUGUAAAUUUGCUACCUUGUUUACUCCAAAAUGUGAUAAGGGCUUCUAGCCAUGUGGAACAAACUUUAACCCAUUCCAUUUACAGAGGCAAAAUUUAACUAUCCUUUUAAACUAGUGAGUUUUACCUGUUUCACGGCUAAAAUUUUUAAACGAAAGCUACAAAAUCUAUAUUUGUGUAUUUUUCUGUGCACAUAUGUACAUGUCUGUGUUUGCAUAUUGUGUACAUGGUACCAGAUUGACAUAAAUUAAUAAGUACUCAUAACGUAAGUAUGUCCAAAUACUUUCAAGUUAGUGUGAUUUUAGAAAUCUUUAAUAAAUAAAGCUAGUUUAAAAAUUAUUAGUAAAAUAAAAUAAAAACAUCUUCAAAAUUUAAUUCAGACAUGUUUGCCUGGGUCUGUUGGUCAGACUGGUUUAUAUUGUCUCUAGUUGAUGUUUUAGGGUCAUAAAACUCUUAUUUCUGUAAUAUUAAUACUAGCUUAAUUUGUCUCUGAACUUAUGUCUUGGUUUUGAGUGUUUAGAUUCUGGAGUCUAGACAAGUGGCCAUGAUGAGGACUGGGGACACAUGUGUGUUCACAGUGCCUGGGCCCUAUUCUCCCUGGUCCAGCUGUUUCCAGGCUAUGCUAAUAGGGGUCAGAUCCUCCAGAUACUGUCUUCACAGUCCUGUUCUCUGUACUUGGCUCUGCACCUGACACAUAACAAUCACAGUUACUUACUUCCCAGGUUUUCCAUUAAAAAUCAGGGUUAUUAAGAGCUAAAAUUGUAAUUAAUAUAUUAUUGAAACUACUAAAUAUUUUAAAAUUCUAUACACAAAGUAUAGAUAUAAGAAAAGUAAUGUCUUUUUAAUAAAACAUUACAAAAAGACAUCAACAUAUGGAUUUUGUUAAAAAGAAAGUAAUUUUUUCUAGUGUAAAGGUUUUCAAAAAGUUGUUUUAAAUUUAAAAUACAGUUGAAAUGAAAUAAAAUAUUUUAUAAAAUCUUAUUUACAGAAUCUUAUUUUGUGUUGCCAAAACUAAAAUUAGAUGUUUAUAAAGUUUUCUUAAAAUUAACUUUAAUAUUAAGGAUACAUAAAAAGGAUAAAAUUUGUUCUUUUCAACAAAAUUUUUAUGUCAUAUUAAUAAUAGAUAAUAAAAUAUUUUUGUUCACCUUUUAAAUAAACUACAACCCCUCCCCCACCCCAAAACUAGGAGCACAUUUUCUUAUUCUGUCUUUAUGAAAUCUUUUAAUUAUUUGGAAAACUGCCCCAUCAAAGGAGUAAAGGUUUUGCUUUGCAAAUCUUUAAGGUUGGUAUGGUGGAUCCCACCUAAUGCCAGCACUUUGGGAGGCCGAGGCAGGUGGAUUGCUUGAGGCCAGGAGUUUGAGACCAGCCUGGGCAACAUGGAGAGGCCCUGUCUCUAUAAAAAAUACAAAAAUUAGCCAGGUGUGGUGGCAUGUACCUGUAGUCCCAGCUGUUUGGGAGGCUGAGGUGCAGUGAGCCAUGAUCAUGCCACUGCACUCAGCUGGGCAAUAGAGUGAGACUCUGUCUCAUAAAAACAACAACAACAAAAAGUUUAAAAGAAUUGAUCAAGAUAGGAUCAACAUAACUGUAAAAUAGUAGUCAUUUAGCCAAAGCAAUAAUUUAAAAAUUUAUUUUCUUUCUUUUUUCUUUGAGUCAGAGUCUUGCUCUGUCACCCAGGCUGGAGUGCACCCAGGCAUGAUCACAGCUCACUGCAGCCUGGAUCUCCUUGGGCUCAAGUGAUUCUCCAGCCUCAGCCUCCUGAGUAGCUGGGUCUACAAGUGUGGACCACGAUACCUGGCUAAUUUUUGUAUUUUUUGUAGAGACAGAGUUUUGCCACAUUGCACAGGCUGGUUUCAAACACCAAAUCUGCCUGGUUGGUCUCCCAAAGUGGUGGGAUUACAGACAUGAGCCACCGUGCCUGGCCAAACCUUUCUUUUUUAAUAUCAAGUGUUUCAAACCAUUGAUAUUUGACAAACUUCCCAAAAUUAAUUCUAACAUGUCCUUUUGAACUCAAGUUAACUUUUAGACAUUCCAAAAAAAAAAAAAAAAGCCCCUGGAAGUCCAACAGAGACAUGUUAGUCUUAUUUGGUAUGUAAAAGUCAUACAGGAAGUAUUGUUAAUAAGAAAUAGUGUUUAACAAUCUCUGAGUUAUAGUUGUAUAAAUGUGUUAAUAUGUGUUCCAAAAUUGUGUUAGAUUCCAAAAAUUUUGAUAUGUCUUGUUAUAUGUUAUCAGUCAUAGUUAUGAUUAUCCUGUUAAAUUGUUGUUUGCUACAGAAAUAACAAAUUUCCUUGUCAAUUGUAUCUUUAAUGAUGGCUAUUCUAAAUUUUGGUUAUUCACAACUAUUGUUUCACUCUGUUUCUUCACAAAAAUGCAGUUUAUAAUCAGCUACUAUUCAAACAUUGUGCUUCUUCAAGUAAAUUCAUGGAUAGGAAAGUGACAGAUACUCUGAAAUAAUGACCUCUGCUUAUGACUGUGAGAUCAUAUAAUUGGAUCGGGUAAAAAUUCUAAAACCUUCAAAGAGAAAAACUGGACUCAUAAAAUGCUAACCUAACAUCAAGCAGAAGAACUAAUUACAUGAAACUGAACUAAUGCAAGGCAAAUGAUUUUAAAGUUUUCACUUUAAAACAUUACUGGUUCUUGCCAGGUACAGUGGCUCACGCCUAUAAUCCCAGCACUUUGGGAGGCCAAGGCAGGCAGAUCACCUGAGGUCAGGAGUUUGAGACCAGCCUGACCAACAUGGAGAAACCCUGUCUCUGCUAAAAAUACAAACUUAGCCAAGUGUGGUGGUGCAUGCCUGUUAUCCC
rnacentral:lncRNA from 10 species